CCUGAACACGCGGAAUUGUAGCCUUUGUUGGAGUGCUAAGUGCUUCGCCUCUGGUAUUUGAUACUCACUAUGUGGAUUAUGCGCCGCAGGCCGGCUAUGUAAGACUGUCUGCAUUGGAGGAAUUGCGCCGUAGGCCGGCUUGGGACGGAUACUUCAUCGAAAUUCUUCAUCAACACCAACAACACCAUUUUGAAGGAAGGCGAAGGAAGCAUUGAAGCAACUUAUUCAUGGCAAAGGUGAAAGAAGCUUCUUCAUUCAUUCAUAUGCAUUUCUAUGGAUAAUACUCACUGUCUCAUUGUGAACUACUACAACUAAAUGAACGAGCGAGCUAGCUAACGAAUCCACAUACAUAUAUGUGUUGUGAAAAGAAGCUGUAACUGCAAUACUUCCACUUCCACCAAUUGUCAAUGCAUCGACAACAAAUAAUACAUUGGCUGGACUUGACAAGCAACCACGCAGACUACUAGUAGCCAAGGUAAGGCAAGGCAAGGCAAGGCAUUAGAGUUGAAGACUGACCAAUAGCAAUAGCAAUGGCAAUGGCAAUAGAAAUACCAACACUAAUACCAUUUAGUGGGAUCGAUUUGAACGGAUAUUCUAGUGCAUACAUUGAAGUUGCAGCUGAAAUUGGUGGUGAAGUUGAAGUUGAAAUUGAAGAAAGUAUUGAUGAGACAGCAAGGCAAGGCAACGAGAUGACAAAGGCGAAAGGCAAUUGGCAGUGGCCAUCAAUGGAAGAUGUAAGUGAAAAAGUGAUCGAAUUGUUACGUGAAGGAGUAGUUGUAGUAGAAUUGUUAUUGAUGUUGGUGUUGAUGUUGAUGUUGAUAUUGAUGUUGGUGUUAGCUAUCAAUGUAUAUGCAAUUGUAAAGAGCUGAUGAAGUGAGUGAGCGAGUGUUAGAGUUCCGACACGGUGCAAUAAUGGGAGGCCAUAUGGUGUUGAGCUUUCACGACUACAUGGCUUAUGGCCGUAGUCCGACUAUACCCCCAGAACCACUAAUUAUUCCCGCAACUCCCAACAUUUCGUACUGCUGCUGAAGACUUGGAUGAAUGAAUGCGCAUCUCUACAUCGUACAUCCGGAUUGCCACCUGAACACGCGGAAUUGUAGCCUUUGUUGGAGUGCUAAGUGCUUCGCCUCUGGUAUUUGAUACUCACUAUGUGGAUUAUGCGCCGCAGGCCGGCUAUGUAAGACUGUCUGCAUUGGAGGAAUUGCGCCGUAGGCCGGCUUGGGACGGGUAAGUGUCAAGAAAAAAUGCGCCGCAGGCGGCAAAUUUUUCAGGGUAUAAGUAGAGGCCCGGCAGAGUGACCAAAUUGGGACGGGUUUGUGUGAAGAAGAAAUGCGCCGCAGGCGGCAAAUUUUUCAGGGUAUAAAUAGAGGCCCGGCAGGUAGACAAAAUUGCUGGUGAGGACCUUUUUUUUUUUUUUUUUUUUUUUUUUU